rnacentral:ncRNA from 1 species
GCAGGCGGCCGGUCCGUCGCAAGGCGUGUACUGGACGUCCUGGCCUUCCCUCCGGUUCUUCGCCGGUGCUCUUGACUGAGUGUCGGCGGCGGCCGGAACGUUUACUUUGAAAAAAUUAGAGUGUUCAAAGCAGGCUCUCGAGCCUGGAUAAUGGUGCAUGGAAUAAUGGAAUAGGACCUCGGUUCUAUUUUGUUGGUUUUCGGAGCGCGAGGUAAUGAUUAAGAGGGACAGACGGGGGCAUUCGUACUGUGCCGUUAGAGGUGAAAUUCUUGGAUCGGCGCAAGACGAACGACUGCGAAAGCAUUUGCCAAGAAUGUUUUCUUUAAUCAAGAGCGAAAGUCAGAGGUUCGAAGACGAUCAGAUACCGUCCUAGUUCUGACUAUAAACGAUGCCAACUAGCGAUCGGGGGGCGUUACAUUGACGACCCCUCCGGCAGCUUACGGGAAACCAAAGUCUUUGGGUUCCGGGGGAAGUAUGGUUGCAAAGCUGAAACUUAAAGGAAUUGACGGAAGGGCACCACCAGGAGUGGAGCCUGCGGCUUAAUUUGACUCAACACGGGAAAUCUCACCCGGCCCGGACACAGUGAGGAUUGACAGAUUGAGAGCUCUUUCUUGAUUCUGUGGGUGGUGGUGCAUGGCCGUUCUUAGUUGGUGGAGCGAUUUGUCUGGUUAAUUCCGAUAACGAACGAGACUCUGGCUUGCUAAAUAGUUACGCGACCAUCCCGGUCG